UGACAUCUCUCCAGGAGGGGGGUGAUGGGAAGGAGGAGGUCACUGACAUCUCUCCAGGAGGGGGAAGACGGGAAGGAGGAGGUCACUGACAUCUCUCCAGGAGGGGGGUGAUGGGAAGGAGGAGGUCACUGACAUCUCUCCAGGAGGGGGGUGAUGGGAAGGAGGAGGUCACUGACAUCUCUCCAGGCGGGGGGUGAUGGGAAGGAGGAGGUCACUGACAUUUCUCCCACCCGCAGAGACGCCGUCGGACUCGGACCACAAGAAGAAGAAAAAGAAGAAAGAUGAUGAUCCCGACCGGAAAAAGAAGAAGAAAGAGAAGAAGAAGAAGAAGAACCGUCACAGCCCCGACCACCCGGCAAUGAGCACAGCACAGACUGGCAGCAGCCUGCGGUAGUGAUGGGGGUGUGAGCCUGACCCUGUGACCCCUCACCUUUCACCCCCCACAACGCUGCCCCAGGCUCCCAGGGGACACCGGUGGGCGGAGGCAGUGGAUCCGGGGCGCCGUGUGUACCCGCCCUCCAGCGAGAAAGGACUGGGCCAGCCUGCCCGCUCCGCCACGGCAGCUUCGUUCUGCCUCGUCUCGUUUACAGUGUGCAAUAAAACGCUUUCUGUUCCUCGGUG